CGGAUGACAAGGAGAACAAGACACGUGGGCAUAGAGAAUUCAAAGCGCAUGCUCUACUGGCACCAAGGGCGUAACAACAGACGCACAUGUGACUCGAGACCAGAAACGAGAAUUCGACGAGCAAGACGACCACGCGGUUGGGAGGUAUCUUUAGACCUCUCCUUUUCUGUCUCUCUUCUCCAAGAAGAUGUGAUGAUUCUGUAGCCUUAAGCAUGAAUUCGUGUGAGGUUAUGUGAUUGACAUGGCUACUUCGGAACCGUCUCGUCUUCGAAGGAUUUAUAACGUUCAGGAAGCAGGUAAUAGGAAGAGGAGAUCGGGAACGACGAAGGCUCGUAAACGUCAAUUAUGUGACGUCAUGGGAUUCUCUCUGUUGACAUCGCAACGUCCGAAAUGUCAACUUUCGAAUCGACCCGUAUAUCGACCAGUCAAGUGGAAGAGUUUAGAAAUUCUAGCCAAAACUCCAGACGGCAGUAUUAGAAAGGUUAGAUUCUCUGCUUUAUUAACUCUAUAUAACGACUUGAACUUCAUUCAUAUUUAACUACUGUAUAACUCUUAUCUACACAAAAACACAUUUACCUAAUUCUCUUCAUUGAACAAAACGAGCAUCGUUUAUUCUGUUCUGCUUAUCGGAAUAUAACCUUUCUAAAUACGAUAAAUAAAUAAAUAAAAUUCAUUUUACACUUAUCAUAGAAUGCCACGUUAACAACAAUCAUUAAAUGAAUUUAUUUU
rnacentral:lncRNA from 1 species